UCCAGGCGCUUUGGAAAAAAAGAGAACGCAGUGAAGAUCGCGUUUUCCGCGCGGAUUUAGACGCGAAAUGUGAAUCGGACAUUAAACCCCGAUCGAGCUCAAACUUCAUCCGAAUUUACUUAAAAAGAUAAACCACUCAUGGUGAGAUGUGGAUCUGUGGCGCAUGUCAGUUUGCAUUCCGUUAGUGGCAGAUCAAUACAUAAGAGCUCUUAAAGAAGUUUAUUUUGCUUUUGAGCACACAACUUCCACAUUGUUUUUGGUUGCUGUUUGGACCGUUUAUAGUGAGCGUUACAGACAAACAACAACACUCCCGUUUUUCCCGUCAUUUUCCCCAUUUAACUCCAAGAACGCGGGGCGCGCACGGACAGACGCUAUCCCACCCGGAGGACGAGGGAUCGCAAGCAAACAGAAGGGGACUCCCCCGAAAAGGGAAUCCGAAUGGACGCAUGGGAAGUUUAAAUCUCCCAUAUAAUGUAACCCAAACGUUGACAGGAAACACACUCAGGUGUUGAGGUUCACACAGAAAAAACUGCACGAAGGAGAGGAAGACAAGUACCAGGACAAGAGAGAGGAGUGGGACAAGGGAGAGGAAGACAAGUACCAGGACAAGGGAGAGGAUUGGGACAAGGGAGAGGAGACAAGUACCAGGACAAGGGAGAGAAAGACAAGUAACAGGACCAGGGAGAGGAGUGGGACAAGGACUAGGAUUCAACGUCUACCUCCCUCAGGGGGCAGAGGAAAGCUCCUAAAUGAAAAACAGGAACUUGCAAUUGUCAACAUGGUGAUUGCUGACAAUGAAAUUAAAUUGAAGGAUAUUUAAUCGAGAGUUGUAGAAGACAACCUUGUCUUUGGGAACAUUGCAGCAAUCAGCAUUACAUCCAUUUCUGUGACUCUAGAUAAACACAAAGUGCAAAUGAAACAACUAUACAAAGUUCCUUUUGAAAGGAACAGUGAGCGCAUCAAAGAACU